rnacentral:rRNA from 1 species
AGAGUUUGAUCAUGGCUCAGAUUGAACGCUGGCGGCAGGCCUAACACAUGCAAGUCGAGCGGCAGCGGGAAGAUAGUUUACUAUCUUUGCCGGCGAGCGGCGGACGGGUGAGUAAUGCCUAGGGAUCUGCCCAGUCGAGGGGGAUAACAGUUGGAAACGACUGCUAAUACCGCAUACGCCCUACGGGGGAAAGGAGGGGACCUUCGGGCCUUCCGCGAUUGGAUGAACCUAGGUGGGAUUAGCUAGUUGGUGAGGUAAUGGCUCACCAAGGCGACGAUCCCUAGCUGUUCUGAGAGGAUGAUCAGCCACACUGGGACUGAGACACGGUCCAGACUCCUACGGGAAGCAGCAGUGGGGAAUAUUGCACAAUGGGGGAAACCCUGAUGCAGCCAUGCCGCGUGUGUGAAGAAGGCCUUCGGGUUGUAAAGCACUUUCAGUAGGGAGGAAAGGUAGCAGUUUAAUACGCUGUUGCUGUGACGUUACCUACAGAAGAAGGACCGGCUAACUCCGUGCCAGCAGCCGCGGUAAUACGGAGGGUCCGAGCGUUAAUCGGAAUUACUGGGCGUAAAGCGUGCGCAGGCGG